rnacentral:rRNA from 1 species
GGACCCGCACAAGCGGUGGAGCAUGUGGUUUAAUUCGAUGCAACGCGAAGAACCUUACCAAGAAUUGACAUGCUGCGAACGUUUUACGAAAGUAAAAAAGUCUAUUAACUUAGUUAAUAGCGCAGACACAGGUGGUGCAUGGUUGUCGUCAGCUCGUGCCGUGAGGUUGUUAGGUUAAGUCCUGCAACGAGCGCAACCCUUGUCUUUAGUUAUAUUCUAGAGAGACUGCCCGGUGAUAAACCGGAGGAAGGUGAGGAUGACGUCAAAUCAGCAUGCCCCCUUACAUCUUGGGCGACUCACGUGCUACAAUGGUCGGGACAAAGAGAUGCUACCCCUGCGAAGGCAAGCUAACCUCAAAAACCCCGAUCUCAG